AUCGCUUCUCGGCCUUUUGGCUAAGAUCAAGUGUAGUAUCUGUUCUUAUCAGUUUUAAAAAAAUAAUAAUAACAAUAAAAAGAAGUCUAU
rnacentral:snRNA from 1 species